UUACUCUUAUUUCGGCUGCUUCCAAUUUAAUAUCAGCAUUUUUCCCCCUAAGACGUUGAAGAGCAUCUUGUGAUUCUUUUUGUCGACCCACUUUUGCCUGCAGAAAUUAGAUUUGGUAUAGAGAAGAAUGUGACUCGGAUCACCCUCGAUCAUAACUAACUAAUAAAUAAUAAGAGCGAGCAGUUCUAAGAGCAUAAGUCAACAAGAUCCUGUAUUGAUUAAUUAGAAUUUGGGCGACGGCUACACUCAAACACUACUCUAAUAUCAUCUCAAAUUAUAGAAUUGGACUGAUUUUCUAAAAGGCUUAUGCUAUAUAAUCUAUUAUUCAUACAUUAAGAUUA
rnacentral:lncRNA from 1 species